rnacentral:rRNA from 1 species
AAUGAACGCUGGCGGCAGGCCUAAAACAUGCAAGUCGAACGCUCUAGCAAUAGAGAGUGGCGCACGGGUGAGUAACAUGUGGGAAUAUGCCUUUUGGUACGGAACAACGUUUGGAAACGAACGCUAAUACCGUAUGGUCCCUUCGGGUAAAGAUUUAUCGCCAAAAGAUUAGCCCGCACUGGAUUAGCUAGUUGGUAAGGUAAUGGCUUACCAAGGCGACGAUCCAUAGCUGGUCUGAGAGGACGAUCAGCCACACUGGGACUGAGACACGGCCCAGACUCCUACGGGAGGCAGCAGUUAGGAAUAUUGGACAAUGGGCGCAAGCCUGAUCCAGCCAUGCCGCGUGAGUGAUGAAGGCCUU